GUUUUCACCCAAGAGGGUCCUCUUCACCAUCUAUUCCUCAAGUUAUCAGCAUUGACCAGCUCAUGGAAUCUGUAAGUGCAGACCGUAUUCGACAUAAGUUAGAAACUGGUUGAUGUAGAUAUUGUAUCUUCUUAUCAUUGGUUGGUUCAUAAAUUUGUUAUUUAGGCCCUUGAGGUGGCGGCUGGUCAAGUAGUGGUUGUCUCCACUUCUCCGCUUCCUUACGACACAAUGACAAACCGCUUCGAAACCUUUGGGACUGGGACGAGACAGAAGAUCUCAAAGUGGUUGGCCACCGAGAACAGCCAGGUGAAUGGGCUCUACAGAAAUUCAUUAGAGGAGUCAUGUGCGCUUGAAAAGGUAUCUUUCAACCUUCAAAGCAGACAGAUAUUAAUAUUGCAUCUAAAGAAAAACUACUUCAGUCUCGCUACACUUAAUGUACUCUUGUCCUCAAUAAUGAAGAGAAAGGUCUUAACUUUAUGAUCCCAUAUGGCCUAGUCAAGAGAAACGUUGAAACUCUUUAUCAUUUGAGAAAGGUCUUAUAACAUAUGAUUAUUAAUGUUAUACAGGUAACAACAGAAGAUAAUAUGAGAGAAGCAUAUGAGUAUCACCUAUUGUUAGUAUUAUCUGCUGAGGUCUUAUCUCUGCCAUCAUCAUUGGCCCUUGCCACUGUCAUCUAUUAACAUGAGGGCCAAUGAAGCCUCUUGGUACGUCUCCAGAGCUAAUGACGUUUCUGUCAAUCUCACCUCCACGGUUGAAAAACAUAGGGCUGACUUCUAUUCUGAAAAAGGAUUGAUGAAUUAGCCAUUUUAGAAGAAUAUAGACACCGCCUUGCAGAGAUCGAAGAAGAAAAAGACUCUUCGAUUCAUUGUGGAAGAAACACCAAACCCUAAAAUUUUUUUGCGGCUGGUCUCGAUGUCUAUGAAACGCAGAGUUUAAGAUAGCCCCUUACUGAAACGCUGAGUUUUGUUUACAGAGGACACGUGUCGCCUGGACAGAAGCAAACUUUGUGAUCUGGAAUCUGACGUGUCUCUCUCCUGAGACAACACAACUUUAUAAUAAUAGAUAGAUAUAUAAAGUUGUCUACUCUCGAGAGAGACAAAGGAGUGGAAUCGAGCUCUCCUGGAGAAGCUACUACCAAAGCUAUCUGAACACAUCCUGAUGCUACGACCACUGUCUGGACACAAACAAAGAACGACAUUUACUCAGCAAGAUCAGGUUAUCACACUACCCAAGUCUCUAAUAU
rnacentral:lncRNA from 1 species